UACGGGGGGGGCAAGCGUUGUUCGGAAUUACUGGGCGUAAAGGGCGCGUAGGCGGCCUGCUAAGUCGAACGUGAAAUCCCUGGGCUCAACCCAGGAACUGCGUCCGAUACUGGUUGGCUUGAAUCCGGGAGAGGGACGUGGAAUUCCUGGUGUAGCGGUGAAAUGCGCAGAUAUCAGGAAGAACACCCGUGGCGAAGGCGGCUCUCUGGGACGGUACUGACGCUGAGACGCGAAAGCGUGGGGAGCGAACAGG
rnacentral:rRNA from 1 species